rnacentral:snRNA from 1 species
UGCACCGGAUCCCAUCAG